CAAGAACGGUGUUUCCAUUUUCCAGCUUCUGAAGAACACCAUUUGCUCUAGAGGCAGUGUUGCUGGUGACCUUUGCAGCGGAGGCCAUCUCCUCCAGCGCACUCAAGAUGGCGUUGUACUGGCUGAGGACUGCUCUGAUGGCUGGAGCACGCACAGUCCAUCUGGUGGCACACAGAGGCUUGAUGGAGGUGAAGGAGCCUGUGGUGGACAUGGCAAUGUCUUUGAAAGUGGUCUUGCAUUUUCCAGACUGGGCAAGUAAGCAUCACAGCUCAUGGAUCCAAUGCAGGGCAUCCCUUAUCACCGGUGUGGAUUUGCACGUAGCCUGUGUGACAAGGUUUACACAGUGUGGGCCUUAGUGGACAAAGUUGGCCAAUGGUUGCUGUCUCCGGAUCAGAGCUUGUGUCCCUGACAAGUGCCCCGACAUGUUGGCUGCGCCAUCGUAGGUCUGCCCACGAAGACCAGAGAACGGCAGGUUUAGACGGAGCAGCACAUCAGAGGCAAUUCUAAAAAGGUGCUCACCGGUCGUUGAAGAGGCCUCGUACAGACCAACAAAGUCCUCCCUUGGCUCAAGGACUUGUGUAGGCAUGGUUUCUCAGCAACCAGCUUGCCAGUUUUGGGUCACUCUCAGCCUUCUCCUCCAGAUGCUGCUUGAAGUUUCCCUCAUCAUUGUCAUGGCCUCUGAGAGCUAAUCCCUGUCUAGCAAGGUACCUCAAUGAACUCACAAUCUUUACCAGUGCUGACCUGGCUGCUUCUUGUGAACUUUCUGAGAUACUGCAAAGUUGCAUCCUGACUGAGUUGUGUGUAUGUGUGUGUUUGUUUACAGCAACAAUGUGUGCCUUACUGUUGGUGUGCUUGUCGAACGCCUCCCUACUCUUCUUCCAGUUCCUGAACCCCAAGGAAAUGAAGGUUUGUUCAGUAUUUCUGGCCAUUGUUGGAAUAUUAUGUUUAAAGGCCUUUACACAGUAGAAACACAAAACUCCCUUAAUUGCAGAACUGUAAUGUAGCCAGGGGUAGUCUUUGAACCAGCUCUCCUGGAAUCGAAGAGUGCGGUUGGGCAGAGUUUGUGGCUCAAUUAGCUGUGCAGCUGGUUGGUAUGGGGAAACUAAAAUAUCCUCAGGGGUGUUGAGCUCUUCCUCUGUUUGGGAAGGGUUAUCCUGUUGUCCCUCCUGCUGAGGCACC
ensembl:lncRNA